rnacentral:lncRNA from 1 species
CUUGUGUGGCCUAUUGAACAUUCAAGUGGAGAGCUCCCCUGGAAAUCUGGGACAUCGGCAGAAUAGGCUCCAUGGCCACAGUCUCUAGUAUUUGCAUGGCAAUAUUACUUAUGAGUCUGGACAAUAUCAAAACUGCUACCAGAAAUUGCUGGCUUCAGCACAGGCUGUGAUGUCACUGUCCUGGAUAACAAGGCCCUCGAUGGUAUGCAGAAAUUGGUUCAACUAUGCCUCCAGGAACACUGGACUGGAAGAGCCUCCACUGUCACUACCUCCUUGACCUGGGAACGUCAUAAAUUAUUCUCCAAUAACAUCAACUCCAUUUUUUUCUCCAAAUAUAUUGUUUCUGUUUUGAC